GGGGGCGUAGCUCAGCUGGCUAGAGCAAGUGACUCUUAAUCACUGGGUCCAGGGUUCGAAUCACUGCGCCCCUACCA
rnacentral:tRNA from 1 species